rnacentral:lncRNA from 1 species
AAUUGCCCUAUAGAAGAAAAAGUGUGCGAAUGAAUUUUAAGUAGGCUAGACCCUUUAUUAAGCCUACUUAACUACUUACAACAUUCUUACAUGAAACAGGUUUUUUUAGUAGAAAAUCUCGUGUAAGUAUGGGCGGAAUUUAAGUAUCCAAAGCCAUGUAAGAGAUCCUGGCACCUCUUAAGUAGGAAACAAUAAGUAGGGAGCCGCUGCUGUGUAACGAAACUCAGCCCGUACAUGGACGAAAGAGGACUGCAGCGGGUAGGCGGAGACUAAUAUAGGCGAAAAUGUUGCCCGACAGCAAACAUUUAAUUCUGCGUUCCCAAGACCACAGGCUGAUCCGAUUGAUUGUUGAAAAAGUUCAUCGUGAUAUUGGACAUCAAACACCCAAUCCAAUUCUUCAAGAUCUACUGGUGUUGGGCAGAUCUUGAUCACCAGCGGCUCUAUUUUACACUAUUUUCAAAGUGUCGAAUCAAACAAUGAAAAACUCUUCAGCCAUUGAUGGCUGAGAUUCCUUUAUCAGAGAGUUGCUGCCGGUAACCCCGCGUUUACGUACACCGGCGUUUAUUUUUUUUGUCACUUCGACGUUACAGUACUCAGAAGAAAACUAAAACGAUGGAUCUGCUUCUUUACCUGAAUGUCGACCCGUGCUCUUCACUUAGAGAUGAUCUUUGCAAUCUUCACCGAAUCGUUUUAGAGGCAAUAUUCCGUUUUGAGGCACGCUGAAGAGUAUCGCGAGAAUAUCGGAGCUGCAAUGACACAAAUUUCGUUGGUGCUAAGGACGAGUUAGAACAUAGCCUACUGCGUCACCACGCGUGGGAAUCUAGCCGUUCUAAUUGCGCUUAGCGGUAAAUCCCCAUGACGAGGAGCCAGGGAUGGCGCGUAGUGUAUGAAUCACGUGCCACGUCUACCUUUUACCCUCUUACCGCCUAGGCAAGUUGCGGAUUUCUCACAUGGCGUGCGCCAAUGUUAAUAGCCAAGUGGUAUAAAAACCCUUGAUUUUCGCGAAUGAGCUCAGAGUUGACUGUGCUCGCAUCUCGUGUGGGACUUGUACCGGAAAAAUUAAUAAACGGCAUGUAAGCUCUUACAUUUGUAGGUUCCAACGAGACUAACAAAUGGAAAAAAAGGGACUAUAAACUUUCGCCGUGUUUUAGGUUGUUGAGGCAGGCAGCUAAACAACAGAAUCCACUCAGAAAAAUUCGUCAUCCACUCAGCCGAUGCCAGCACCAUGGAUCUUGAAAAACAAAAGAGCACUAAGCCACCAUAUGGAGCCCAGAAGAUACUCGUUUUUCUCCUAUGCAAGAAUUACCAUCGCCUUAGUCAAUGCAAAGUGUUCAGCGACAAGUCAUCCGAAGAAAGAAUUGAAAUAAUUAUAGGGCAGGAGUGUUACCUAAAGUGUUUGAGCAAAGGUUACAUUAGUACAGACUGCACCAGUAAGAAGAAAUGUGCUGUGAACAAUUACAAUCAGUCACACUAUUCUUUCCUACACGAUGCUUUAGGUAUUGCUUUACCAAGAAAUAGUGAAAUAGAGACCGAAAAAAAAUCUCAUGUAGCAACCUUCCAAAUCACACUACCCUUGAAUUUAGGAACUGUCUCAAUUGAAGGUGAUCAAAGCAACAAUGUGUUGAAAAUAGUUCUAAUUACUAUCGAAGCUGAAGGAAAGACUUUGGACACGUAUGGUUUUGUUGAUCCUGGAAGCCAAGCAUUUUAAAUCUUCAAUUGUACUUCACAGCAACUGGGGUUGAACGAUGACGAGGAAACAACAAAACUGCGUGCAUCAACAAGAUUUCAUAGACAAGAUCCAGUCAUCAAGAUGAAGCAAGUGAAGUUCGACAUUCAAACUCGAGAUAGAAGUUGCUCGUUUCCAGUUAAAACAGCUUUUUUCCGUUUCCAACUUAAACAUAAACGCUCAGCAGAUCAUGUGGCCAACGAGUGGAACAAAGCGUAAGUGGAAUUAUCUUUCCGAUAUGAAGUUGCCAUAUGUCGACCCCAGUAAAGUUACCACUUUCAUCGGAAGAGACGUAAUGAGGAUUCACAAGGUUUUAGACACCGCAUUUCAACCGAUGGUAUUGACACAACAGAUAGAAUAUUCAAUCAUUUUGGAUGGGGCAAUACGGGACCGGUUCUGGUGUCUUUGCUAAAGCCACAAAGAUCCUCUCAACUUUCUGUAGGACAUAUUUUACGCCGACAUUUUAAGUGAAGACAUGCCAAGAUUUUUGUUAAAGGAAACAUUUGCCAUGGGUUCGCCAUCUUCACCGAAAUUAUCCACUGAUGAUCAAAAAGCUCUACGUAUUCUUCAGCAUACAAUCCAGCACACCUACAAGAGAUAUAAAAUCGGUUUCAUGUUGAAUAAAAUCCUGAAGUCAAAUUGCCCUACAACGCUGAAGUUGCGUUGCGUCACUUUGUUUCGUUAGAGCGACCUUUAAAAAAAAAGAUCCAAAAUUCGCUAAAAGUUACGUAGGUGUUGUAAACGAUUACAUUGGAUCCGGCUACACCAAGCCAGUUUAAAACAAACCACUAAACCCCAAUUGCUUUAUAGUGUAUCUGCCUCAUCAUGGCGUGACUACUGUUAGCAAGCCGGAUAAAAUGCGGGUUGUAGGCCUACUCGUGAAGUUAUCAUGAAAUUGAUUACAUAUUUUUAUGCUUUGCAAGUAGUAAGUGUAUAGUUUCUGUAAUAUAAUACGUUAUAACUAUUUAGUGAACACAUGUUGAAAUUGAUAAUUACAUAAUAACUAUUCUAUUGAUUAUUAUGCUACGCUGUAACUACGAGUAUACUGUGUAGUACAAUUUGUAACUUUGAAGAAAUUACGUCACAAAUUAUUAUGUGUAAUCAAUAUAUCAGAUUGCAGAGAAUCGAGAGUCCAUUUUGUCAAAUUCACCCUUGUUAUGGUCACAAAACAAUUUAGGGAGUUGACCGUGAGAAAGACUUUCUACUCGUUACCCUAAUAAGAAACCCAUCCAGCAAGUCUAGAAUAUUUCUCCCAUAAACUACCCUUACUUGUCACUAGGGCAAGGCCAAGAGUAGACCCUAUACCACUUCUUUUUCGUCUUCUGCCGUAGCUCAACACAAUGCAAUUGACCGGCAACCUUACAAUCUUAAAUAUUACAACGUAACAACUUACUUGUUAUUGAAAAGACACGAAGUUAACCGCUAGAACAAAUGCUUCGGAUGACCUCUAAGGAAGAGACGCUUAGUAAGAAACCGACCCCUAAAAUCUAAUAAAUAGAGCUAACAAAGGAGAAACCACAUAUUGUUUGUUGUUCAUUCACACAGCAGCGACAAAAUACUUAAUUUUUGAUACUUAAAAAAGGCCAGCCUACUAGAUCUUUUUUUCGUCCUUAAUUUCUAUAAGAUACUUAAUUUUUAUAGGCUACUGAAAAAUUCAGUAACUUGAGGUUAAUUUUUGGAAAAAAGAGUUAGCCGUGCUAGGAUUUGAACCAUGGACCUUUAGAUUCACUGUCUUAUACUAUACCGCUGUGCCACUUCAAUUAUUAAUGAAAGAACUAAUUUAGCUAAAAAUGGUGAUAAGAUAAAGUGAUUGAAAAUUUUCGAAAAAUUUUUUUAUACAUUUACAAACAUGUGAUUUUGCAGCUAACCAGCUAAAGUUUUUAAUACAUUGAAAAGUAAUGAUCAUACAAAAUGUAUUUCAUAAAAUUUAAGUGGCAUAUAUUUCAGAAAUUAAAGAAAAUUAACAUAAAAAAAUUUUAAGCGUGGUUCAAAAACCCAGAAAUCCCUUAGAUUAAAUAACUGAUUUGUAGUUAUAACUAGUAACUUAGUUCAGGCAACCUGUCAUGAGAUGGGCUUGUGUUUGCCAAAAAAUAGUUAGCCUUAUUGCUAAAUUUAAGUUUGGUUCCUUAAGAUUAACAAAUGUUUUUGAGAACGAAGAAAUUUUAGUCACCGAUACUUGUGAAAAGGUGAUGUAACCAAAUAUAGGGAUUUUGUAAAAUUGUCAUUGCAUAUUAGACCUAGUCUACCUAACAAUAGAGGCCAUUAUUUAACAGUGCAGUCGAUGCAUUUCAUAUGAUUAAAAUGACUGAUUGUAUAUGUUGACUUGAAAUCAAAACCUGACCGAUUGGGCACUUUCAAAGAUUUGCCAGUUGUUAAACCAAGGUGACAUCAGUUUGCUGUAUUAUUGUAAUAACUAGUAACUUUGGGCCCGUCCAGGGCCGGGAGAUAGGUGGCGCUAGCGUAUUUUUAACGCUUUUUUCGCCAUUUAAUUCUGCCAAACUGUUAACGGUUAAUUUUUGCCCGUCUACUCUUUAAGCUUUCUGCGUUCCCAUUUUUUGCCCGUCGACCCAUUCACUGUCUCUAUCCGCAAAGGUGUCCGCCUAGUUGCCCGUCCUCCUCCUCAUAGUCUGCACGUCAACCUAUUUUGCUUGCCAAAACGACCGCUGUAGGUGCCCAUCGACCCACUCUUUGCUUCUGCCCGUCGAUCAACUUGCUGCCUUUGCCCGUCACAUCACUCACAGCCUCUGUCCGUCAACACCCUCUCUGCCCGUCGACGCACUCUUUGUCCGCCAAAACGCCCGCUGUAGUUGCCCGUCGACCCUAUCGUUGCCUUGCCCGUCCGCCCCCUCAUAGUCUGUGCCCGUUUAUUUGACUGGUAGAUGGCAUAUAAAAUGUUUAAUAAUUUGGUUGGUAGAUGGCGUUCAGAGUUAUUUGCGUUGAGAAAUUCCCCCUUUUUUUGGUGACGGAAAAAUAGCCGCUGGCGGUUUUCACCCCUUUCCAGAGCGGCUGGACUGACCAAUCACAGCGUGCUCUCGUUGUGACAGACACAGGCUCCUCCCAAAAAAGCUUGUUCUUUUAUUUUUUUGGUGACGGAAAAAUAGCCGCUGGCGGUUUUCACCCCUUUCCAGAGCGGCUGGACUGACCAAUCACAGCGUGCUCUCGUUGUGACAGACACAGGCUCCUCCCAAAAAAGCUUGUUCUUUUAUUAUAUAUGGAUAAGUAUUAAUAGCCAAAGUCCUAAUAUUAUUGUACAAUAUCAUUUUAAAAUAUUAAUUAAUCCUAAUUUAAAGAUUGUUAGUUAAUCCUAACAUCAGUAAUUCAGUAUGCUACGCAGGAUACUUUAAUAUUUUAAAUACUUAAAAAGCAUUUUGUCAUACUUAACAAAAUUUUUCAAUGCUUAAAAUCGAUAGGAUAGGUAUGAAAUUGGGUUUCAGUAGGGGAAUCAAAAUUUUAAGUAUCUUUUUUCAAAAUCAGGUAUCAUUUAAGGAUACUUAAUUUUUUCAGUAGCUUUUUCCUACUGAAAGACCCUUAAUUAAGUAUUCAGUCGCUGCUGUGCAUAUUCCGCCGACUAGAGUGCUGCUCUGUUCCACUUUUUUCAACUUAAAGACUAGAAUCCUUGUCUUGUGCCAGUUUACCUCUCAGCGUGGAACCUCAGUGUAACAUACAAUAUGCGGUAAACACAACACAGCUGUUAAAGAGUACUUAUUUUCCGCCAUUUAAGGGUUUUCUGUACACUGAACAGUACUUUAAAAUUUAAGUAGGAAUUUUAGCGUACUGAAAUAAGAAAAUAACAUGCUUUUAUUCUUUUUUACCAUACUUAAAUGUAAUAGACAGCAGCAACCCCUCCCAGCAACAGCAACCCUACCCAGCAAGAAAGUCGUCACGUAUGCAACCUUCCCUUAGGUUAGCUGUUUAUCACAAAAGUAAAAGUUAUUGUAAACCCCUCCCUUCUUAACCUUAAAUCUUCGGUAUAUAAGUGCAUGAUUGUAACAUCAUAUUCGGAGUUGUUUAGGAGUCGUCUCAGAGUACUGAGAAGACUCUACCUGGCAUAAAUACCCGUUUUGUGAAACUUUACAUUUGGAGGUCCAAACAAGACCAUGACCGGUCGACGAAAACGUGUACGAACGUCUAACGAAACCGUGUAUUUAUGUUUUAUUAAUCUUCUAGUUUGGCGAUUUUUUUUCAUCAUUCUUGUGAAGGGGUCGCAAAUGAUGAAUAUACGUUAGCAUACGAUGAAUACAAUGAAUCCGAGCACGGCUUUCUAUAACUCCAUUGAGUUCGAAAGCCAUCCUGAGAUGCAUGUCUCCCUCCGCCAGCGCCUCUCGUACUCCCUUGGCCUCCUGCACACCUCGUGUAGCUGUUGCCUCGCAGCUCAGAUAAUCGUCGACAUACAUUUUUGUUUCGACCGUUUUGCUAACCUCUGGAUCUUUUGCAAAGUCGGCGGUUGCUCGUUGCGUCAAACUUAUGGCGAUAAAGGAAGAGCAGGUGGGUCCAAAGGGAAACCUUUUAAACUACACAGCAGCGACUGAAUACUUAAUUAAGGGUCUUUCAGUAGGAAAAAGCUACUGAAAAAAUUAAGUAUCCUUAAAUGAUACCUGAUUUUGAAAAAACAUACUUAAAAUUUUGAUUCCCCUACUGAAACCCAAUUUCAUACCUAUCCUAUCGAUUUUAAGCAUUGAAAAUUUUUUUUAAGUAUGACAAAAUGCUUUUUAAGUAUUUAAAAUAUUAAAGUAUCCUGCGUAGCAUACUGAAUUACUGAUGUUAGGAUUAACUAACAAUCUUUAAAUUAGGAUUAAUUAAUAUUUUAAAAUGAUAUUGUACAAUAAUAUUAGGACUUUGGCUAUUAAUACUUAUUAUUACAAUAAUACGGCAAACUGAUGUCACCUUGGUUUAACAACUGGCAAAAUCUUUGAAAGUGCCCAAUCGGUCAGGUUUUGAUUUCAAGUCAACAUAUACAAUCAGUCAUUUUAAUCAUAUGAAAUGCAUCGACUGCACUGUUAAAUAAUGGCCUCUAUUGUUAGGUAGACUAGGUCUAAUAUGCAAUGACAAUUUUACAAAAUCCCUAUAUUUGGUAACAUCACCUUUUCACAAGUAUCGGUGACUAAAAUUUCUUCGUUCUCAAAAACAUUUGUUAAUCUUAAGGAACCAAACUUAAAUUUAGCAAUAAGGCUAACUAUUUUUUGGCAAACACAAGCCCAUCUCAUGACAGGUUGUGCCUGAACUAAGUUACUAGUUAUAACUACAAAUCAGUUAUUUAAUCUAAGGGAUUUCUGGGUUUUUGAACCACGCUUAAAAAUUUUUUAUGUUAAUUUCCUUUAAUUUCUGAAAUAUAUGGCACUUAAAUUUUAUGAAAUACAUUUUGUACGAUCAUUACUUUUCAAUGUAUUAAAAACUUUAGCUGGUUAGCUGCAAAGUCACAUGUUUGUAAAUGUAUCAAAAAAAUUUUCGAAAAUUUUCAAUCACUUUAUCUAUCUUAUCACGAUCUUUAGCUAAAUUAGUUUUUUCAUUAAUAAUUGAAGUGGCGCAGCGGUAAAGUAUAAGACAGCGAAUAUAAAGGUCCAUGGUUCAAAUCCUAGCACGGCUAACUCUAUUUUCCAAAAAUUAACCUCAAGUUACUGAAUUUUUCAGUAGCCUAUAAGAAUUAAGUAUCUUAUAGAAAUUAAGUACGAAAAAAAGAUCUAGUAGGCUGGCCUUUUUUAAGUAUCAAAAAUUAAGUAUUUUGUCGCCGCUGUGUAGAACACUUGGAUGUUCUGCUCUCCUUCACGCCACCACAGGAAACGGAAGAAACGACGAAUCUCCCUCUUUCAGUCGUAUCCGACUAGACAUGGCGGCAAUAUCAGAGCUCAGGCCAUCUCCUUCUCUCGAAACUUGAUAAUUGUAGAAGGGAGGGACGCUUGCAGUGCGGGUCCGCUAAGUAUACUAAUAUCAUUUAGGCAUUGUCCCCUGAAUUUGGCGCCUGCAUCGAACACCACUCUCGUUUUCUUUCCUUUUUGGACUCCAUGGUGUGUUAAAUAGUACUCCGGCCCGUCGUCUCGCUUUUCGAGAAUCACUGCAUUGCCUUCUGUAAAAUUCUUUUCAAUUGCUAUACGAUAAUCGCUUUCAAACUCUUGAUCUCCGCGAAAUCUUCGUAGCAGACUUUCCUAUCGGUUAUCAGCCAAAAGACGACUGUUUGGCAACGAUGGCUCCCCCGUCUUCCAGGUGAUUGAGCCCUCGUAUCCGAACUCCAGUUUCCGGAAUCCACUUUAAAGGAACUGGAUUGCCUGCCUGUCCACUUCUGACAUGCCCGGGAUGAGAUGCUCGUUCCCAAAGUCUUCCGUAUCACAAAAUCUUUUUAACUGUUGCGCCAAUGUGUCCACUUCAUCGUUUGUGAUGAAGAUGGCAUUACUUCGAACAGCCUUCUGCCCAUGUUGCUCUCCAAUCGCGCCACGUACGAUCCACCCAAUUCUUGUCCGGCUUGCUGUAGGUUCGUAAUCCUUGCCAAUGCGCGUUUCAAUAGCUGUCGUCAGAUGGAUCACGUCACUACCAAACAGGAUAUCCAGUUGGCCACCGCUAACAUCUAUCGGCAGAUCUUCCAGAUGCUUCCACCUUGUCUUCAGCUUAUCCAAAUCGAUCAGGGAAACUGGACUGGCAAUGGUCGGCAUCGUCGAACCGACUAGCGUAACUAUUUCCCCUCAGGGCAGUCUGAUUCGUAGUUCUACUCUUCGAGAAGCAUAUUUGUUCUUUACCGCCCCUGCACCAUCAACUGAUAUAGUGUUUGAGAGGCUCCCCCCAAUUGGAGUCUCCAUACAAAGGCCUCACGGAAGAGCGUGCUAUCACUGCCUUCAUCCACGAUCGUUCGCCUUUACAACCUUUCCGCUGGCAUCAACCACAUCCAGAUAGAGCAGGGCGACAGCCUUCUUUCCUGUCCUCAAACUUAUAUGCGCAGCUGCUAGGCGCGCCUCUCUGGUGAGCGUCUCCUCGUUGUCAUGAAGCACGGAAUAAUGCCAGUGUUUUAAUCCCGGGAAAAAACAUGGUUUCUUAAACUUGCAAUCACGUGACGCAUGACUAGUGCCAUACUAAUGAAGCACAGUCUCCGACGAAUGCAGAUAUAUCAUCGGUUUUUUGGAGUCAUCUACUUGAAGACUUCACAGGUUUCCAACCGAUGCGAUCCGUCAUCUUGGAGACAAAAGGUCUUUCCAAUUCCAUUCUUCCCACUGGAUCCGUUUGCGUAUCCUUUUCUCUCUGCCUCCGCGUUGGUGGAAUGGGAUCUAGUGAACCUAUGAGGCUGCUUGUCAGGUGAAACUUGCAACUGUUCCGCCGCAAGACUAUAAGCAUUCUGGUAGGCUGCAGAACGCUUGCACAACCAUCUCCGAAUCGUGAAAAUAUUCCUUUUCUCCAAACCGCUACCAAAACCUUCGUUCCACGCAAGCCGCUCUGAUACUUCCACGCAAGAUAAGCAGAACCUCUGCAUACUUCUCAAUUGGGCUUGAGCAAAGAGGAUUGCAAAGGAGGUCCAGAUAAAUAAAUGCUAAUUCCCCUGCUUUCUCAAAAAUCCCAUUACAACCUUGAGAAUUGUUGUGUCAUGUGAAUAUUCUCGGUAAAAAGGAAUCGGACCGAAUUAAAAUUUUUCUAUUUUAAAAUUCUUGUACCCCUGAUUAAAUAAUUAACAACAAUUUAAUUAUAUUUUUAUUGCUUGUAUAAACUGAUUAAUGGGUGUGAGAUUCACGACAGGCUGGAACCCUCCUGAUGUCUUAAAAAUAAAAAAUAAAGAGCACAGGAAUCCA